rnacentral:rRNA from 1 species
CCUACGGGAGGCAGCAGUGAGGAAUAUUGGUCAAUGGACGAGAGUCUGAACCAGCCAAGUAGCGUGAAGGAUGACUGCCCUAUGGGUUGUAAACUUCUUUUAUAAAGGAAUAAAACGAGGCACGUGUGCCUUUUUGCAUGUACUUUAUGAAUAAGGAUCGGAUAACUCCGUGCCAGCCGCCGCGGUAAUACGGAGGAUCCGAGCGUUAUCCGGAUUUAUUGGGUUUAAAAGGAACGUAGAUGGGUUGUUAAGUCAGUUGUGAAAGUUUGGGGCUUAACCGUAAAAUUGCAAUUGAUACUGGCAGUCUUGAGUACAGUUGAGGUAGGCGGAAUUCGUGGUGUAGCGGUGAAAUGCUUAGAUAUCACGAAGAACCCCGAUUGCGAAGGCAGCUUACUAAACUGUGACUGACAUUGAUGCUCGAAAGUGUGGGUAUCAAACAGGAUUAGAUACCCUAGUAGUC